AUGAACGCUGGCGGCGUGCCUCAUACAUGCCAGUCGCGCGAACAGACGAGGAGCUUGCUCCUCUGACGUUAGCGGCGGACGGGUGAGUAACACGUGGAUAACCUACCUAUAAGACUGGGAUAACUUCGGGAAACCGGAGCUAAUACCGGAUAAUAUAUUGAACCGCAUGGUUCAAUAGUGAAAGACGGUUUUGCUGUCACUUAUAGAUGGAUCCGCGCCGCAUUAGCUAGUUGGUAAGGUAACGGCUUACCAAGGCGACGAUGCGUAGCCGACCUGAGAGGGUGAUCGGCCACACUGGAACUGAGACACGGUCCAGACUCCUACGGGAGGCAGCAGUAGGGAAUCUUCCGCAAUGGGCGAAAGCCUGACGGAGCAACGCCGCGUGAGUGAUGAAGGUCUUCGGAUCGUAAAACUCUGUUAUUAGGGAAGAACAAAUGUGUAAGUAACUAUGCACGUCUUGACGGUACCUAAUCAGAAAGCCACGGCUAACUACGU
rnacentral:rRNA from 1 species